GGCAGCCUGAUCAGCCAUGCCGCGUGAGUGAAGAAGGCCUUCGGGUUGUAAGCUCUUUCGGACGGAAAGAAAUCGCGCAGGCUAAUACCCUGCGCGGAUGACGGUACCGUCAUAAGAAGCACCGGCUAACUACGUGCCAGCAGCCGCGGUAAUACGUAGGGUGCGAGCGUUAAUCGGAAUUACUGGGCGUAAAGCGUGCGCAGGCGGUUGAUUAAGACAGGCGUGAAAUCCCCGGGCUUAACCUGGGAACUGCGCUUGUGACUGGUCAGCUAGAGUACGGCAGAGGGGGGUGGAAUUCCACGUGUAGCAGUGAAAUGCGUAGAGAUGUGGAGGAACACCGAUGGCGAAGGCAGCCCCCUGGGCCGAUACUGACGCUCAUGCACGAAAGCGUGGGUAGCAAACAGGAUUAGAUACCCUGGUAGUCCACGCCCUAAACGAUGUCAACUAGUUGUUGGGAGGGUAAAACCUUUUAGUAACGUAGCUAACGCGUGAAGUUGACCGCCUGGAGAGUACGGCCGCAAGGCUAAAACUCAAGGAAUGUGAC
rnacentral:rRNA from 1 species